CGAUUUCCCUGAUAUUUAAUUUUGAGCUUUCAAAUAGUUACAUUUGAGUGUCAAUUUUGAAAGUGAUUCAGGAAACCGCUUUGGACGGAUUAAAUUAAUAAAGUGUUACAUAAACCUUUAUGUGUUAGUUUUCCAUUUAAUGUAAGACGAUUAAAUUCCGCAUGCCUAUCUGUAAGACAAAAUUGAAAAUAAGAUUACUAUUGCCCAACAGACUGAAAGAUGUUAUUUACAAAAUUCAUAUUUUUU
rnacentral:lncRNA from 1 species